GUGAAUCAUCGAAUUUUUGAACGCAAAUUGCACUCUCUGGUAUUCCGGAGAGUAUGUCUGUUUGAGGGUCAGUUUAAAUAAAAAUCGGUGUGUUUGCUGCCUUUCGUUUUGACGCACCGGUUUUGGGUUGUCUUACGUUCGGUUAAGUGACCUUAAUAUUUGCAUGUUCAUUUUCGAACGUCUUUAAAUGAUUUUAUGUUUGUUUGUGAUAUUGAAUAUUAAGGUUGGACAUUCUCAUGAUU
rnacentral:misc_RNA from 1 species